rnacentral:rRNA from 1 species
AGAAUCUUCCGCAAUGCGCGCAAGCGUGACGGAGCGACGCCGCGUGGGGGACGAAGGCCUUCGGGUUGUAAACUCCUGUCACCUGGGAAGAAAGACGAGCAGUUAACAGCUGACUCGUCUGACGUUACCAGGAGAGGAAGCCACGGCUAAAUACGUGCCAGCAGCCGCGGUAAUACGUAUGGUGCAAACGUUGUUCGGCAUCACUGGGCUUAAAGAGCACGUAGGCGGUUGGGUGAGUCUGGUGUGAAAUCCCUCGGCUCAACUGAGGAACUGCACCGGAUACUAUCUGACUGGAGUGCAGGAGGGGAGAGUGGAAUUCCUGGUGGAGCGGUGAAAUGCGUAGAUAUCAGGAGGAACGCCGGUGGCGAAAGCGUCUCUCUGGCCUGCAACUGACGCUGAGGUGCGAAAGCUAGGGGAGCG